UACGGAGGGAGCGAGCGUUGUCCGAAGUUACUGGGCGUAAAGCGCGCGUAGGCGGUUUUGCAAGCCAGAGGUGAAAUGCCUGAGCUCAACUUAGGAAUUGCCUUUGGGACUGCGAGGCUUUGAGGACUGGAGAGGUGAGUGGAAUUCCCAGUGUAGAGGUGAAAUUCGUAGAUAUUGGGAAGAACACCGGUGGCGAAGGCGGCUCACUGGCCAGUUUCUGACGCUGCAGCGCGAAAGCGUGGGGAUCAAACAGG
rnacentral:rRNA from 1 species